rnacentral:snoRNA from 15 species
AACAUGCUUCCUUAGAUCCACCUUUGUGGAUGUUAAUUUUGAACUGAGUUCUACUUGUAAACUUUGUGUUUCUUGUAGUUCCAGUCAAAGAAACAUCCGGCACCUUUUGUGGUUGUACCCUCUUAAGGUGCUUGAGUCAUUGGCAUGUGAGAGAACUAUACCUUCUACUGUUCUUUGGUUCUGAUGGAAAU